rfam:Haemonchus placei strain MHpl1 genome assembly, scaffold: HPLM_scaffold0001255
GGCACAAACUUGAAGUAGAAUAGUUGGGUAUGGUCAGCAGAUCCUACUAAUCUACUCUACUUAAAGUUUGUCCCC